rnacentral:lncRNA from 1 species
CCCUUUUCUAUGGAAACUCAAGAUUCCCCUAAGGGCGUGUUUGGUUCGCACUAUGAAAGAUUACUAAGAAUAAAAAGAUGUCCGAGAAUGUUAUUUCUAUCCAUCCUAUUACUAAGAAUGUAGCAUUCAUGUGUUUGGUUUGUACGGUCAUAUUAUUUAGUCAUGUUAUUUAAGAUUAAAGAAAUAGGAAGAGAAAUAGAGUCGAAGUUAUAAGGAGUGAGAGAGUUGAGAUUUUAGAAAAACAGGGGGAGAGAGAGCUUAGUUUAGAGGGAGAAAAAAAAAGUUGAAGUUUAGAGAGAAAAAGAUAAGUUUAGAGAGAGAUAUGAGGUUAGAGUGUAAAGAAAAAUAAUACCAACUAGCCGGUGUGUAGGAAGAAAAAAAGAGAUGAGACAUAUUAUGAUUAUCGCAAUUAAUUAAUGUGAGGAUACCCACCCUCCCUCAAGGGAAUUAGAUUAGUACUUUGGGAUGAAUCUCAUUCCCAAGUAAAAUCUAAUAUUAUCAACUAGAUUACUUAGUGCGUUUAGCUAAACACCGUCAUAUUUUUUUUAUUCCUAUUGAAUUAGUAGGAAUCUUAAAAAGAUAGCGCGAACCAAAUACACCCUAAGAGUCAAAGUAUUUAUGUGGCUUGCUGGGAGGAACAGAAU